AGAAAUAACAAUACAGGGCAUAUGUCUUGUAAUUGGAAUGAUGGUGACGUAAAAUCUCGUCAGAGUACCAAUUGGAGGGCAAGUCUGGUGCCAGCAGCCGCGGUAAUUCCAGCUCCAAUAGCGUAUAUUAAACUUGUUGCAGUUAAAAAGCUCGUAGUUGAACUUGAGCACUUGCUGUGAUGUCCAUAUUGGACUUUUCAGUGCGUGCUUUUCUUUUUACUUUGAGAAAAUUAGAGUGUUUCAAGCAGACUUUUGUCUUGAAUACUAGAGCAUGGAAUAAUAGAGUAGGACCUUGGUUCUAUUUUGUUGGUUGUGAGCCUGGGUAAUGGUUAAUAGGAACGGUUGGGGGCAUUCGUAUUUAACUGUCAGAGGUGAAAUUCUUAGAUUUGUUAAAGACGAACCAUUGCGAAAGCAUUUGCCAAGGACGUUUCCAU
rnacentral:rRNA from 1 species